rnacentral:rRNA from 1 species
GAUGAACGCUAGCGGCAGGCCUACACAUGCAAGUCGAGGGAGAAGCCUUCGGGCUGAAAACCGGCGCACGGGUGCGUAACGCGUAUACAAUCUGCCUUUCACAUAGGGAUAGCCCGAAGAAAUUUGGAUUAAUACCUAAUGGUAUAUAGGAGCGGCAUCGUUUUUAUAUUAAAGCUACGGUGGUGAAAGAUGAGUAUGCGUUCUAUUAGCUAGUUGGAGAGGUAACGGCUCCCCAAGGCGACGAUAGAUAGGGGUUCUGAGAGGGAUGUCCCCCACACUGGUACUGAGAUACGGACCAGACUCCUACGGGAGGCAGCAGUGAGGAAUAUUGGACAAUGGUCGGAAGACUGAUCCAGCCAUGCCGCGUGCAGGAUGAAGGUCCUAUGGAUUGUAAACUGCUUUUGUAAGGGAAGAAUAAGGGGUACGUGUACUUUGAUGACGGUACCUUACGAAUAAGCAUCGGCUAACUCCGUGCCAGCAGCCGCGGUAAUACGGAGGAUGCGAGCGUUAUCCGGAAUCAUUGGGUUUAAAGGGUCCGUAGGCGGGCUAAUAAGUCAGAGGUGAAAGCGUUCAGCUCAACUGAGCAACUGCCUUUGAAACUGUUAGUCUUGAAUGAUUGUGAAGUAGUUGGAAUGUGUAGUGCAGCGGUGAAAUGCUUAGAUAUUACACAGAACACCGAUAGCGAAGGCAUAUUACUAACAAUUUAUUGACGCUGAUGGACGAAAGCGUGGGGAGCGAACAGG